CUGAGGUUUUGUAGGCCUUGUUUCCACUUAGUGCUUGAAUAGUGGGUAAUCUCACUGGCUGGUAACAUCCUGAAGAAGGUUAUUGUCAGUGGAGGAGGACGACGAUAAAUUCGAUGAAGAGGAUUGGAUUUCUCAGACUGCGCUAGCUGGAUUUCUCAGAACGUCUGUAUAUUACAUCUGCUAAAUAUGUUUAUGUGACCAAUAAAAUGUGAUUUAAUAUUCUAGAAUUCUACAUGACGAUAGAUUGCACCCAAAUAUAGAGCUUCAAACGAAGGAAGAACCCUUCUUAGAGUAUAGGCUAUUUAUCUUUGAUUAGAAAAUAAUGAUAUUCUGUGUCUGACUAAAACACUGCAG
rnacentral:lncRNA from 13 species